UUUGAUAUGUAGCCUUGCACCUCUAUUCAUUUAGUCUCAGUUUAGUAUACCAAAUAGGAAAGACACUUUUUAUAUAUUUUAGUUUAAACUUUUGUGGAUUUCUGUUUACAAGGUUGGCAGAUACCCUGCGAUGUUCAGAGCAUGUGGGAGCGUGAUCAUACAGCAGUUCACAAGAAUGACAAUACGACCUCGGCUCAGUGUGUGCGGGAAAGUGACAAGUUUGUACCAGAGCGCAGCAGGAGCAGUGCGGUGGAACAGCAGCAGCAGGCCAGCCCCUCUGUUGAUCGCUGCUCCUGCUCGCUCCCUCAUUGAUGAACAGAUCAGCAUCAGGGGCCACGUCCUGCCCCCGCACUGCCCCGUCACAUUACGUGCACAAAUGCACAGUGAUGAUGGGGACCUGUGGGAGUCAUUUGCGCAUUAUAACACGCCUGCAAGCGGCACUCUUUCCUUAACCAGUGAUCAUUCAGUUGGAGGGUCUUAUUUGGGCUGUGAGCCAAUGGGACUCUUCUGGGGUAUGGAGCCAGCUCCUGGAGGAAGGGAAGGCUUGAGGCUAAGGAAGAAAAAUGUGGAGACUCCUUACAAUGUGCAUAUUUCCUUACUGGAAGGACACGUUUCCCCCAGUCAAGGAAUGGGCGCUGAGCUUGCAGCUGUAACUGUUGAACGCUGGUACAUGGCACCAGGAGUGAGGAGAAUAGAGAUUGUUCAAAAUGGAAUUGUAGGGACAUUAUUCCUCCCUCCUGGGCCAGGCCCCUGUCCAGCCAUGCUGGAUAUGUGGGGAAUGGGUGGAGGACUGCCAGAGUACCGCUCAUCCCUGUUUGCAUCCAGGGGUUAUGCUAGUCUUUCUCUUGCCUAUAUAGGGCACAAAGACUUACCUGGUCCACCAAACACUGUCAAUGUUGGGGAUUCAUAUUUUAAGGCAGCUUUCCAGCUACUUCAAGAUCAUUGCCAGGUGAUUGCUGACAGAGUUGGGAUCAUUGGUCUUUCCUUUGGAUGUUACCUGGCGCUUCGGAUCGCUACUGUGACUGGAGUUAAACCAUCCUGUGUGAUUUGCAUCAAUGGCCCUAUUGGAAGUGCAAUGUUGCUGACGGAUAAGGAUGGCAGGCGUGCAACAUUUGAAAGUUCCCAGAAAUAUUGGAAUUAUGAUGAUCAAGGACGUGUCGUUUUCAAAGAGCUCUCCUUGCCUGCUAAUCUUUCACCUGAAAGUAUUAUCAAGUUGGAGAAUGUCAGCUGUCCACUCAUGUACAUAGUGGGUGAAGAUGACCUGAAUGCUUCAAGCAUAGAGACUGCAGAUGUGAUUGAGGAGACUCUGAGGUCUGCAGGUAAAUCCGAGCUCUUUACCCGUUUGUCAUACCCCGGCGCCGGUCACUUGAUUGAACCGCCUUACUCACCAAAUUCAAGAACAUCCAUGUGGUCCAUCAAGCCUAAGAAAUUAAUCACUGUUUGGGGAGGUCACCCUGCACCACAUGCCUUUGCUCAGGAAGAUUCCUGGAAGAAGAUCCUGGAAUUUAUGGAGAGCCAUCUAAGACGCUAAAGCAGGAUGUUGAGAUAGAAAACAUUACAUCUUAAAUGGGUCAGUGGGAGACUAAAUUUAUCAGCUUCUGUCUUGUAAGGAUCCCAAGUGCGACUGGAGGCUCAUCUGACGGAGCGCUCUCGGCCUCGCCCGACACAGAGCUGUAUUGAUCAACCACAGGGGAGCUGCUCACCACUACAUAAUGCACAUCUAAUGGACACCAGUGGUCGGAGCUCUGACCAGAACCACUUUGCUCAUAAAAUUGUAAUUUCCCUAUGUGCACAUUUCUGUUUAUUUUUUCAGCUCUGCCCCUUACAUUUCAUGCAACUGAUCAUGGAAAAGAUCCAUAGGAGUCAGAUCAUUGAGUCUUAAAUUUCUGAUUUCUGAUUUAUUUUCGCACAGAAUGGACAUCAUGUUCAACGCUGUCAUACAGUUUGUCUGUUUUUUCAACAAACAUAGUGGGUGGAAAUAAAAUGUUUCUUUGUUUGUAUUCAACACAUUUUC